AGCGAACGUUAGCGGCGGGCCUAACACAUGCAAGUCGAACGGAUCGUAGCAAUACGGUCAGUGGCGCACGGGUGCGUAACGCGUAGAUAAUCUACCUCUAAGUGGGGGAUAACUAGGGGAAACUCUAGCUAAUACCGCAUAAGACCACGGGGCCUUCGGGUCCUGAGGGAAAAGACGGCCUCUGAAUAUGCUGUCGCUAGGAGAUGAGUCUGCGUCCCAUCAGCUAGUUGGUGAGGUAAUGGCUCGCCAAGGCAAAGACGGGUAGCUGGUCUGAGAGGAUGAUCAGCCACACUGGCACUGGAACACGGGCCAGACUCCUACGGGAGGCAGCAGUGGGGAAUAUUGGGCAAUGGGCGCAAGCCUGACCCAGCCACGCCGCGUGAGUGAUGAAGGCC
rnacentral:rRNA from 1 species